CCCCUUCCGUAGGUGAACCUGCGGAAGGAUCAUUA
rnacentral:rRNA from 1 species